rnacentral:rRNA from 1 species
AUUGAACGCUGGCGGCAGGCCUAACUCAUGCAAGUCGAACGGUAACAGGAAGACGCUUGCUUCUUUGCUGACGAGUGGCGGACGGGUGAGUAAUGUCUGGGAAACUGCCUGAUGGAGGGGGAUAACUACUGGAAACGGUAGCUAAUACCGCAUAACGUCGCAAGCCCAAAGAGGGGGACCUUCGGGCCUCUUGCCAUCGGAUGUGCCCAGAUGGGAUUAGCUAGUAGGUGGGGUAACGGCUCACCUAGGCGACGAUCCCUAGCUGGUCUGAGAGGAUGACCAGCCACACUGGAACUGAGACACGGUCCAGACUCCUACGGGAGGCAGCAGUGGGGAAUAUUGCACAAUGGGCGCAAGCCUGAUGCAGCCAUGCCGCGUGUAUGAAGAAGGCCUUCGGGUUGUAAAGUACUUUCAGCGGGGAGGAAGGGAGUAAAGUUAAUACCUUUGCUCAUUGACGUUACCCGCAGAAGAAGCACCGGCUAACUCCGUG